UGAGGAUCAUCUGAAAACUUGCCCAGAU
rnacentral:piRNA from 1 species